GCUGACUCUCUUAUUUUCACCUGCCUGCACCCAGGUGAAAUAAAUAGCCAUGUUGCUCACACAAAGCCUGUUUGGUGGUCUCUUCACACAGACGUGCAUGAAAUUUGGCGCCGUGACUCGGAUUGGGGGAACUCCCCUGGGAGAUCAAUCCCCUGUCCUCUUGUUCUUUGCUCCAUGAGAAAGAUCCACCUACGACCUCAGGUCCUCAGACUGACCAGCCCAAGGAACAUCUCACCAAUUUUAAAUCAGAAGGCAGGAAUGUCAGGCCUCUGAGCCCAAGCCAAGCCAUCACAUCCCCUGUGACUUGCACGUAUACACCCAGAUGGCCUGAAGUAACUGAAGAAUCACAAAAGAAGUGAAUAUGCCCUGCCCCACCUUAACUGAUGACAUUCCACCACAAAAGAAGUGUAAAUGGCCGGUCCUUGCCUUAAGUGAUGACAUUACCUUGUGAAAGUCCUUUUCCUGGCUCAUCCUGGCUCAAAAGCACCCCCACAGAGCACUUUGUGACCCCCACUCCUGCCCGCCAGAGAAUAAACCCUCUUUGACUGUAAUUUUCCUUUACCUACCCGAAUCCUAUGAAAUGGCUCCACCCUUAUCUCCCUUCGCUGACUCUCUUCGGACUCAGCCCACCUGCACCCAGGUGAAAUAAACAGCCAUGUUGCUCACACAAAGCCUGUUUGGUGGUCUCUUCACACGGACAUGCAUGAAAGCCAGGAUCUGAGAGAAGUGCUCACGAGGAUUGAUAAAACAUUAUUAGGUUGCUGAACCAUUCCAGGACAUGUAAAAAAAUGAAGAAAGAAAAUAUCUACCAGCUCUCUUCUCAGGGAACAUGUUUGUCUUUGGUUGGAAGGAAAUACUUUGAUAAGCCGCUUGGAGUGUGAGGUGAGAUGCCUCCUUCCCCCAAGGAGUAUUUUGAAUAAAAACAGAUGGUCAUUAAACUGUCUCUGUCAGAGGGUGGGUCCAACUUAAAAGAGGAGCUUUAAUUUGUAAAGUAGGUUUUGCAGAGCAGAGCUGAGGCCCCAUCACUGGCUUUAACCUACCCUACCCUGCCCCCAUGAGACUAACAGCUUCUUCUCUAAAUAAAUGUUAAAUAAAAAAUUUUAAACCUAUUGAAUUCAUAUUAUGCAAAUUGGCUGACCACCCUGCAUUUCUGAGUGCUUGUUCCUUCCCAUAGUCUUAGUGUGGCUAAAAUAUUGGGGUGAAGUUAGCUGUGGGAGUUCAAUUGAAAUAGCAUAGAUUUCAUGUAUAAGACCACAUAGGUUUCUCCCCAGAUGGUGCAAUUGAUACGUCAUGCUUUGCUGAAGCAAUAUUACAGGGCUUGCUCUGAUUUUAUUAUGAAUCUUGAAGAAACGUUACGGACCUUAAGAGGUCUUAAGAAGUGAGGGUGACAAGACGGGUGGUUUUGGUUGUGCUAAAGUAGUCCUAUCUGUGAUUGGUUCUAAUUUCCAUAAUUCUGAAUAAAAUGUUUUUGUGAGAAAAAAGGUAUAGGGUUUAAAAUGUUUGAAAAUCCACUUGAAAAAUUUGUGAGGUUUACACUCGUGUGGAACAAACAAAAACCAUAACAUAAUUUUCACAAUUUACAUCAUUGAUUUCACAUAUUUAUAUUUGUAAUAAAUCAAUGUAAUAAAUCAAUUAUAUUCUUCUGCAUGGA
rnacentral:lncRNA from 1 species